UGGCUGCAUGGCUGUCGUCACGCUCGUGUCGUUGAGAUGUUGGGUUAAGGUCCCGCAACGAGCGCAACCCCUGCAUUCAGUUGCCAUCGGGUAAUGCCGGGCACUCUGGAAGGACUGCCAUCGACAAGAUGGAGGAAGGUGGGGAUGACGUCAAGUCAUCAUGGCCCUUAUGUCCAGGGCGACACACGUGCUACAAUGGCCGGCACAACGGGAAGCGAGUUCGCGAGGACGAGCGGAUCCCUCAAAGCCGGUCGCAGUUCGGAUUGAAGUCUGCAACUCGACUUCAUGAAGCUGGAAUCGCUAGUAAUCGUGGAUCAGCCAAGCCGCGGUGAAUACGUUCCCGGGCCUU
rnacentral:rRNA from 1 species